GGUUCGGCGCGGAGUUGAGGCUUACGGCCACCAUCAGGCGCAACGGGGUAUCAUUUGGAGAGCACUGGGAGUGGCAGCUCGUCCAGAAGGAGCUGGUCGGUGAAUUGCGGCCACAGAUUCGCACCAAGUUGACCGUGCGGCCGAUUGGAGGGCGAGAGUCGACAAUCACUGCCGGGAACGGCACGAAGCAAAAACCCCUGAAAGGGGUUUUUGUUUUUGAUUUCCAGUUUCAUCAUUCCGCUCGCUGCAGCCAGUCGACCGGGAAUUCACGAACGACACGACGCGCCAAGGCCUCUCGGACGGCCGGUAGUCGAUUGAGGAAGCAUCGCCGAGAAUUGCCCAUCGGCUAAUGACGGCAGCGAGAAUCGGUGAAGAGUCGAG